GAGUCGUUGGCGGUAGGCGUAGGUUUGCACGUCGAACCGGGAACUUAGAAGCUUGCUCCUUGGGUGGCGAGUGGCGGACGGGUGAGGAAUACAUCGGAAUCUACUCUGUCGUGGGGGAUAACGUAGGGAAACUUACGCUAAUACCGCAUACGACCUACGGGUGAAAGCAGGGGAUCUUCGGACCUUGCGCGAUUGAAUGAGCCGAUGUCGGAUUAGCUAGUUGGCGGGGUAAAGGCCCACCAAGGCGACGAUCCGUAGCUGGUCUGAGAGGAUGAUCAGCCACACUGGAACUGAGACACGGUCCAGACUCCUACGGGAGGCAGCAGUGGGGAAUAUUGGACAAUGGGCGCAAGCCUGAUCCAGCCAUACCGCGUGGGUGAAGAAGGCCUUCGGGUUGUAAAGCCCUUUUGUUGGGAAAGAAAUCCAGCUGGCUAAUACCCGGUUGGGAUGACGGUACCCAAAGAAUAAGCACCGGCUAACUUCGUGCCAGCAGCCGCGGUAAUACGAAGGGUGCAAGCGUUACUCGGAAUUACUGGGCGUAAAGCGUGCGUAGGUGGUCGUUUAAGUCCGUUGUGAAAGCCCUGGGCUCAACCUGGGAACUGCAGUGGAUACUGGACGACUAGAGUGUGGUAGAGGGUAGCGGAAUUCCUGGUGUAGCAGUGAAAUGCGUAGAGAUCA
rnacentral:rRNA from 1 species